rnacentral:rRNA from 1 species
AGAGUUUGAUCAUGGCUCAGAGCGAACGCUGGCGGCGUACUUAACACAUGCAAGUCGUACGAGGAUCGUCGGGUUAGCAAUAAUUCGGCGGUUCGAGUGGCGCACGGGUGAGUAACACGUGGGUAACCCACCCUCGAGACCGGGAUACCCUCUCGAAAGGGAGGCUAAUACUGGAUACGUUCCCUGGGACGCAAGAUCUGGGGAGGAAAGGUAGCGAAAGCUGCCGCUCUUGGAGGGGCUCGCGGCCUAUCAGCUAGUUGGUGAGGUAACGGCUCACCAAGGCUAUGACGGGUAGCUGGUCUGAGAGGACGACCAGCCACACGGGAACUGAGACACGGUCCCGACUCCUACGGGAGGCAGCAGUGGGGAAUUUUCCGCAAUGGGCGAAAGCCUGACGGAGUGACGCCGCGUGGGGGACGAAGGCCUUCGGGUCGUAAACCCCUGUCAGAGGGAAAGAAGGGUGUCGGCGUGAAUAGCGCCGGCAUCUGACGGUACCUUCAGAGGAAGCCCCGGCCAACUCUGUGCCAGCAGCCGCGGUAAGACAGAGGGGGCAAGCGUUGCUCGGAAUCACUGGGCGUAAAGGGCGCGUAGGCGGGAUGGCAAGUCGGUCGUGAAAUCCUUCGGCUCAACCGAAGAACGUCGGCCGAUACUGCCGUUCUUGAGGGAUGCAGAGGAGAUUGGAAUUCCCGGUGUAGCGGUGAAAUGUGUAGAGAUCGGGAGGAACACCGGUGGCGAAGGCGGGUCUCUGGGCAUCUCCUGACGCUGAGGCGCGAAAGCGUGGGGAGCAAACGGGAUUAGAUACCCUAGUAGUCC